GGGCGCUUAGCUCAGUUGGCUAGAGCACCAGCCUUACAAGCUGGGGGUCAGAAGUUCGAGUCUUCUAGCGCCCA
rnacentral:tRNA from 1 species